AUAUGAUUUACAGCAACAAAAAAUUUAGCUAAAUCAUUAUUUCAGCAAGACAGCAACAAAUUCAACUAUCAGUGCUGAUAAUCAGCAACAAGUGAUUAUUUUCAGAAAAAAAAUGAGCUCGGUGAUAUUUUCAGCAACAAAUUCAAGGUGUAGUGAUGAUUUAGGGCAAUGAAAUUGAAAAAGAAGAACAGGGCCGAAGGAAGCUCACCUGCUCAGGGAGCAACUGACGUCCGAAGCAAUAAGACGACAACGACCACCACCCGAGGUUGAGUGUGGCAGCAGCCGUGAGAGAGCUUGAGCUUGAGUCAGAGUGUGACGAGAAAGAGACUCCAGAGAAGAG